rnacentral:rRNA from 1 species
UACGGAGGGUGCGAACGUUAAUCGGAAUCACUGGGCGUAAAGCGCGCGUAGGCGGUUUGUUAAGUGGGAUGUGAAAGCCCCGGGCUUAACCUGGGAAUUGCAUUUCAAACUGGCGAACUAGAGUGCGGUAGAGGGAGGUAGAAUUUCCUGUGUAGCGGUGAAAUGCGUAGAUAUAGGAAGGAAUACCAGUGGCGAAGGCGGCCUCCUGGAUCGACACUGACGCUAAGGCGGCGAAAAGCGUGGGGAGCAAACAGG